ensembl:lncRNA
AUGGCAAAAGUGACAAAAUUUUGCAGUUUACUCCAUUCUACUUGUAGACUGAAGGAAGCAUUUGAGGCGGAGUAUGGAGCAAACCGAAGCAUCCCCUCAGCUGUGUCCACACGAUGGAACACAACUCUACACCUUGUGGAGGCAGUCACUGACCUGGAUCCCCAAAGCCUACACUCUCUCCUGGAAGCCCAGGGACAUAAAGCUCUGUGCUUAUCAGCCAGAGAAUGGAGUCAGCUCAAAGAGCUUGUCGACAUUUUAGCCCCAUUUCUGCAAGCAACAGACCUUACACAAGGAGAGAAGGUGGUGACUGUCAGUGCGGCUCUACCUUGUGUACUCUCACUCAACAGCCACCUCAUCCAUAUGCUGAAUGCAUCUCAUCACCUGGUUGGCUUAGUGAAAGCACUGCAGAUGUCACUCCAACGCCGUUUCCAGGGGAUGUUUGCAAAUGUCAGAAUGGAUGAAACAGCACAACCCUCCGUAGAGCUUCCAUUUGGAGAUAUGGUCUACAUGUUGUCUGCACUACUAGACCCAUCAUUCUGCCUCUUUUGGCUAGAACAAGAUGUCCUCACACCAGAUGAAGUCAAGAGUAAGGUGAAGGAGAUGAUGAUAGACCUUCUCUUGGUUGAGGCUCAGAAAGUCACCAUACCUGAGGGCAGCAGUGGAGAAGAUGAGGAGGAGCCACCAGUACCCGCUAAAACUCCACGUCUUUUCUCUGGCUACCGCAAGAAGAGUACCAAGAAAAAUGCAGACCAUCACACAUCCUGCAAAGAUGAGGUCAUUCGCUACAUCCAGGUGUGCUCUGAAGAAGAAGUUGACUGUAUGGAUUUCUGGCAAAAGCAUGCAACGGUCUUCCCAAGGCUUUAUCUUGUGUCUAUGAAACUGCUUGCAGUUCCUGCCACAAGUGCACCAGUGGAAAGGGUAUUUAGUCAUGGAGGCCUUAUAAUGCGCCCUCACCGAGCCAGACUUAGUGCAAAGACACUGUCAAGCUUGAUCUUUUUGAAAUGUAACCAUUCUGUUGCUUAAGACUUUUCUAGUUCUUAGGCCACUGAAGAACACCUAGAAGCCAGAAAUGUUUUUGUGGCCCGGUUAACCAGUCUAAUCUCAUCCUUUGGAUUUUUUUUAUUUUAUUAUUUCUAAACAUUUUGUUCUUAACAAGUUACAGGCCAUAAGUUGGUCAGUUGCUUCACAUUCACUCUAAAAAUGUUGAGCGUUUGAAUGUUGUGCUCUCCAGCCACUAAGUAAAUAACAAAUAAUUGAGGAUUCUCUAUCAUAAGGAAGUGUACAGUGCGUGCAGAAUUAUUAGGCACGUUGAUUUUAAAAAUGAUCAGAAAAUCAACGUGCCUAAUAAUUCUGCACGCCCUGUAGUGUGUUAAUUUUUGUGGAUAGUAUGAAGAGUUCAGAUGCAAAAGCCUCUAAGUGCAAUCUGAAAUUUUCUUCUAGAAUAAUAAUUUUUAUAAAGCUUGUAUAUUUAAGUUCAGUAAUUUCACUUAAAUGACAAUUAAUUUGCAUUGUGAUUUAAGUAAAAUUAUUGAACUUAAAUAUACAAGCUUGAUAAAAAUUAUCAUUCUAGAAGAAAAUUUCAGAUUGCACUUAGAGGCUUUUGCAUCUGAACUCUUCGUAUAUUUCACAUUGUUUGGUUCGUUGCAAUAUGCUACAAUGCAAAAUACAGAUAUUAACUUAAAAGUAAAGCAUUCUUGGUGUUUUUGUCAUGUUGCAAUAGCCUGUUUACACUGAUUAUAUACCAAAAUCAAAGCUGAUACUGUAUGCUAAUAGAUAGAGGUGUCAUAAUAACAUAUUACAUGCUUUGAAUUCCUUAUAUAUAGCUAUGCAGUGUUCUAAGCAGCUUGGAUGGGUCGCUGUACGUGAUGCAACAUUUAUUAUAACCAGAGACUUAAUAUAAUAAAGAGACUUGAGACUUGACUUGGACUCUAGCU